rnacentral:rRNA from 1 species
UACGUAGGGCGCAAGCGUUAUCCGGAAUUAUUGGGCGUAAAGAGCUCGUAGGCGGUUUGUCGCGUCUGCUGUGAAAGACCCGGGGCUCAACUCCGGUUCUGCAGUGGGUACGGGCAGACUAGAGUGCAGUAGGGGAGACUGGAAUUCCUGGUGUAGCGGUGAAAUGCGCAGAUAUCAGGAGGAACACCGAUGGCGAAGGCAGGUCUCUGGGCUGUAACUGACGCUGGAGGAGCGAAAAGCAUGGGAGCGAACAGG